UACGGAGGGAGCUAGCGUUGUUCGGAAUUACUGGGCGUAAAGCGCACGUAGGCGGCUACUCAAGUCAGAGGUGAAAGCCCAGGGCUCAACCCUGGAACUGCCUUUGAAACUAGGUAGCUAGAAUCUUGGAGAGGUCAGUGGAAUUCCGAGUGUAGAGGUGAAAUUCGUAGAUAUUCGGAAGAACACCAGUGGCGAAGGCGACUCACUGGACAUGUAUUGACGCUGAGGUACGAAAGCGUGGGGAGCAAACAGG
rnacentral:rRNA from 1 species